rnacentral:misc_RNA from 1 species
UUGAGCAGUACUUCAAAGCUAACUCAAGAUGCAUCAGAAUCAGAUUACUCAGAUGAUGAGGUGUCUUCUCUUGUUAGCAGAGAAGAAGGCCUAGAGUGCCCAAUAUGUUGGGAGUCCUUCAAUAUUGUGGAAAAUGUUCCUUAUGUUUUAUGGUGCGGUCAUACGCUGUGUAAAAAUUGCGUACUAGGACUUCAAUGGGCAGUUGUGAAAUUCCCGACAUUACCAAUUCAACUUCCCCUCUUUAUUUCCUGUCCGUGGUGCAAUCUCUUAUCCUUCCGUCUUGUCUAUAGAGGUAACUUGAAGUUUCCUCGCAAGAACUACUUUCUACUUUGGAUGGUUGAAAGUAAGAAUGAUGCUGGACAUAAGUCCCAUAAUACCUUCUGUGAAGAUCAUCAACCCCUAUGGUCAUCAGACAGCAAUUUAGCUCCCAGAAAUGAGUCAAGUCUCAAUAACAUCAGAAGUGGACGUCAUCCAGAACCAUCAAGAACAAAUCAUUAUUAUAAUCAAAGCAAUAACAUCCUCAAUUUCGGAAGAAUAAAUUCUACCCUGCAGAAGUCACUGGUUUUCUUCAUUCAUCU